AUUGAACGCUGGCGGCAUGCCUUACACAUGCAAGUCGAACGGCAGCAUGACGUGUAGCAAUACACGUUGAUGGCGAGUGGCGAACGGGUGAGUAAUAUAUCGGAACGUGCCCUGUAGCGGGGGAUAGCCCGGCGAAAGCCGGAUUAAUACCGCAUACGCUCUACGGAGGAAAGCGGGGGUCGCAAGACCUCGCACUAUAGGAGCGGCCGAUAUCGGAUAGCUAGUUGGCGGGGUAAAGCCCACCAAGGCGACGAUCCGUAGCUGGUCUGAGAGGAUGAUCAGCCACACUGGAACUGAGACACGGUCCAGACUCCUACGGAGGCAGCAGUGGGAAUAUUGGACAAUGGGCGCAAGCCUGAUCCAGCCAUGCCGCGUGGAUGAUGAAGGCCCUAGGGUUGUAAAGUCCUUUCGACGGGGAAGAUAAUGACGGUA
rnacentral:rRNA from 1 species